UACGGAGGGGGGCGAGCGUUAUUCGGAAUUAUUGGGCGUAAAGGGCGCGUAGGCGGCUGUACAAGUCAAAGGUGAAAUCCCUCGGCUCAACUGAGGAACUGCCUUUGAAACUGUACGGCUUGAGGCCGGGAGGGGGUAGCGGAAUUCCCAGUGUAGCGGUGAAAUGCGUAGAUACUGAGAGGAACACCAGUGGCGAAGGCGGCUACCUGGACCGGUUCUGACGCUGAUGCGCGAAAGCGUGGGUAGCAAACAGG
rnacentral:rRNA from 1 species